rnacentral:rRNA from 1 species
UACAGAGGAUGCAAGCGUUAUCCGGAAUUAUUGGGCGUAAAGCGUCUGUAGGUGGCUUUUUAAGUCCGCCGUCGAAUCCCAGGGCUCAACUCUGGACAGGCGGUGGAAACUACCAAGCUGGAGUACGGUAGGGGCAGAGGGAAUUUCCGGUGGAGCGGUGAAAUGCGUAGAGAUCGGAAAGAACACCAGCGGCGAAAGCACUCUGCUGGGCCGACGCUGACACUGAGAGACGAAAGCUAGGGGAGCGAAUGGG